GUUUAAAUCACCUAAAAUGGCAGCUGGCAAUAUUAGCUAACGAAUGAAUGAAUGAAUAAUCAAUCAUUCAAUAACUUUGCAGUUAUGUCAGCGCGUUACGUGUGCGUUUUUACCUAUGAGAUAUGUCAUAAGACAAAUUUGGCAUGUCCUGUGCUUCAUUUUUCAGUAUAAAACGCAGCAUUCUCUUGCUUGCAAUGUGGAUAUCUGCCUGGCUUGUUAACCAGAAUUAGUCAUGUUAAACGGUUUUCUGGCCAGUUAAUUAUUAGCUAAUACGAUUAAUUUAAUCAUUUAUGUCCAAAGGUUUAAAGGAUGUGGCGUGACAGUCCAGCAGACAAACGUUUUACAUGAGUUACAACAGUGUAGCUGUGUUUUUGCAUAGGUCUGUCAAAGAGUAAUGGCAUCUCAGUAGCUCCUUUAAAAAUACAGGUGUUUAAAUUGCAUGAAAGGAACUUAAAAUGUAAGCACUACAAUGGAGUGUGAGUACAUGUGUGUCUGGACAUGCCGAGGGACCCCUACAAAUCAAAGGACAGGAGCAGGAAUCGAGCGGGUUCCAUAAAAUAUCGCUUUCUGUGGCAGGUGCUCUUGUUGCAAUUUUGCAGAAAAUGCAACUGAUUGAUAACCUCUUUCGGCUAUGUCAAGUGGCUUCGUAGACAGCCAGCCCAGCCUGGGACUCGGACGGACGCCGCAGUCCACCGAUCCUGCCGAAGUCCCGAGUAGAGGUCCCGCAGCCCCUGCUUCCAGCUCCGAUGAAGAGGAAGGCGGGCCCCAGCCACAGCGGUCCUUUCGGGCCACCGAGGCCUGCCUCGCAAAGUUCUGAGCUGCCGAUUCCUGAGAGUUGGCGUGCGGCCUUCUCGAGGGAACAGCGGGAGCGGAUUGGUCGGGUGCUGUUUACCAGGGACUGCUCGGGGAAGACGGUACUCGCCACAGACCAGUCUCGGUCAAUCUACAACCUGCAGCCCCCCUCUGAGUGAAAAGGCAAACGUUCUUGUUUCUUCUUUUUUUUAUUGAAUUGUCUUAUUGAAUACAACUUGACGCAUUACAUGUCAUACCUCUGCAAGCGUGGACGUUCGUGAUUUAGACGCCAGUGGCUGCAUCUCUGCAAAAGUCACGUCUACCGCAAAAUCAAGAAAUGUG